AAAUUGAAGAGUUUGAUCAUGGCUCAGAUUGAACGCUGGCGGCAGGCCUAACACAUGCAAGUCGAACGGUAACAGGAAGCAGCUUGCUGCUUCGCUGACGAGUGGCGGACGGGUGAGUAAUGUCUGGGAAACUGCCUGAUGGAGGGGGAUAACUACUGGAAACGGUGGCUAAUACCGCAUAACGUCGCAAGACCAAAGAGGGGGACCUUCGGGCCUCUUGCCAUCAGAUGUGCCCAGAUGGGAUUAGCUAGUUGGUGAGGUAACGGCUCACCAAGGCGACGAUCCCUAGCUGGUCUGAGAGGAUGACCAGCCACACUGGAACUGAGACACGGUCCAGACUCCUACGGGAGGCAGCAGUGGGGAAUAUUGCACAAUGGGCGCAAGCCUGAUGCAGCCAUGCCGCGUGUAUGAAGAAGGCCUUCGGGUUGUAAAGUACUUUCAGCGGGGAGGAAGGUGUUGUGGUUAAUAACCGCAGCAAUUGACGUUACCCGCAGAAGAAGCACCGGCUAACUCCGUGCCAGCAGCCGCGGUAAUACGGAGGGUGCAAGCGUUAAUCGGAAUUACUGGGCGUAAAGCGCACGCAGGCGGUCUGUCAAGUCGGAUGUGAA
rnacentral:rRNA from 1 species